CAGGCUGGUCCACUGUAACAGUUACCUGGCAGCUCAGAGCCCCCUGCAGGACCGAGAUAUGUUGCACAGGAUGGUGACCGAGGGCACCCAUGGAGGAUUUCACACGGAUGUAACCCUCUGAGGGGCGAGCAUAAGCUGUCAAGUACGUGGGGAGGCACACAGGCACAAACAGCCGGCCCUGGAGUCAGGUAAUUGGCCUUGAACAGGCUCCAGCCUUCUUUCCCAGCUGGCCUCUAUCUGUUUCGACUCUGCCAAGGUCCUGGAGGACUUCCUCUAGCUGAGAAAGAUGUUAAGGACAACGCCAGGUGCCACGCUGCGGAGUCCUUCCCCUGCCCACUUAUCCUUCUACCGUGAUCGCCUCAUCUAAGCUACACAAGAUGGCUGUCUGCCCUCUCAGCGCCAUGUACUGUCUUCUGGGCGGAGCAUGACAAGGACUGUCUUAAGGACCUCGAAAGGCAGUAUGUUGUCAAGUUGAAGCCCAACAAUAUCCAGGAAUGAGCCUUACGAAGAGAUUGGGGGUGGAGCCUCAGGAGCCCCCUAAAGUGUGACAAUUCUCAAAGUCAGAACAGACUUAGGUGGCCAGAGAGACCAUUGAGACAGUUCGGGGAAGCACAGGCACCCAGCACGAGAGGUGAUGCCACAUAACCAAAUCCCUGACAUCGAUCCUGACAUCGAUCGCGCUGUCGCCCUCUGAGGCUGGGAUCUUCACUGUACUGACUCCAGAUAGGAUUAUGUUUACCCACAAGACAAUCAGGAACCACUGAAGCACCGAAGAGCAACAGGAAGCCAAGAUCUUUGCUGCCCUGUCCUGUCUUUGGAGAAGUCCCCAUGUGACAAGCAACUGCAACGGGAGCCUCAGCCGACACUCAGGUUUUGAGCCUCUUAAACACUGGAAGCUUGGCCUAGGGACUGCCGACCAGAGAUGCUUGAGCCAGAGACACAAAUGACCAGAGAUGUCUGAGCCAGACAUUGCUGACCAGAGAUGCUUGAGCCAGAGACACAAAUGACCAGAGAUGUCUGAGCCAGACAUUGCUGACCAGGGAUGCCUGAGCCAGACACAUACCUGACCAGGAGAUGCCUGAACCAGGGAUGCUUGAGCCAGAGACAUACCUGCCUAGAGAUGCCUGGGCCAGACACUGCUGACCAGAGAUGCCCGAGCCCGAGAGACUGCUGAUCAGAGAUGUCUGAGCUUCAAGGACUUGCUUCAAAGUAAUCCUUAACUGAGAGGUGAAGUUCAUAGGCUCCUGGACGGUUCUCACUUCCCAGAAUGCUGUAUGAAUUAAAGACACAAAAUAAAUUAAAGGUACGAAAUGAGCCAAACUUUUACUCAUGGUUCUUGAUGUCAAACCCAUGUCUUGAGAUGCCUGUACCUGAUAGCUUCAUUGGUGGUGAGUAUAUCAGUCGGGAUGGGAAAUAAAAUUGUUAAAUUUAGUUACUAGAUACAUUUAGUUAUUAGAUACAGAGGCUCUGGAUUGAUAAUGGGUAAUAGAAUCUGGGUAAGGGAUACUGUUGGGAGAAUAUCUGUGCUAUUUCUUUGUCAGAAACUGAGAAUCUUCUGACCCCCAGCGAAACUUUUAUUUCAAGGAGCCUUAACUCAGAAUGGGCAAAAAGCAUCAUUUCCAAGAUGCUAAAAUUGGUGCACAUCUCUAGGGCACAUUAUCAGUUUCUUCCUUCUAACAACAGUUAGCCUGUACUAGUACAACCAAUGAAAGCUCGCUGUAUAGGAUGGCAUGUUAGAGAGAUGAAGGGUGGAGUGCAUGGAAUUACACAGCCAGAUGUCUAGACAUCUGGUUAUGGUGUCUCAAGACACUACAGUUAAAUCUUUGCCCAAGUUAUUUACAGAAAAUAGAUGUUGUAUAUGUUGAAGACAUUUAAAUUAGAUCAAGGUUCUUGUUUGAUUUGAAGUGGAAGGCUACAGUUCUGUGAGCUGAUUUGUUAACAGAAUUACUAGGAUUCUUGAUGCACAUGGCAGGAGACAGGGGUUUACCAUGUAGCUUUGGCUGACUGGGAGUUUACUACAUAGACAAAGCUGGUCUUGAACUCACAGAUCCACCUGUCUGUGCAUGCUGGAAUUGAAGGUAUGAGCCACAAGAGAGUGAGCUAGUCAAAGCACAGUGCUCUUACGGGUAUGUUUUGUUACACAGAAAUCUCUUGGGCCCUGUCCUAUUUUCCUUUCGCACCUCUGGGUCAGCUCAUUUAGAUUUAGAAAAAGAUUAGUAGGGAGAAAAUUCUCAAGCUAUCCAAUCAUAUAUUUGAUAUAUCCUCUUAACAUUUCAAGGGGCCUCCAAACAAAUAUAUUAAAGACUCUUGCUAUCAUUUUUACCAUUUCAGUCAAUCAUCAUUCACCUGACCUCUUGGUCAGGCCUCAAACCAGAAUCCCGCUUCUUGUAUUCAUGUAUCUUCUCCUCACAGGGGAUCUGUUCCACUUUCUAUGUCACAAUGGAAUGCUGACCCUAUGACGCUACAGUGUUACAGUUCCCAUGUUCCAGCUUCCAGUGGAUUUUGAAAAACAACCCUCCCAUAAGGACAUCAGAAAAGGCUUGGUCCCAGCAUGAAAACUUCCACAAAGGGGCGGAACAUGGCCGUGGUCUGCCAGUUUAGAUCGUUGAUAGCAAUCACUGAAAAGCAGAAGCCAAGUUUCAGCAAACUGUUCUGUGUUCUGUGGAAACUAGAUUCCUUCAAUAGCCUAGAAGUUGUACUUGAGUGUACCCCAACUGGACCCACAAGGAAACGUUCCACAAGUUGAAAUACUCAAUACCUGAGAAUGCCCUGUGACUUUAUGCUCUCCCGUCCCUGGGGUGGUGGUGACAUCCACAUGGACAGAGAUCUGACCUACAGAAUCUUUGGAGGAGCGACCUGCAAACAGAAGAAAUGUACUAGCUUGAAUGUUCAGGUUGCAUGCCUUAUUAUCUUUGCCUAAGAAUUAAAUAUUGUUUUUUUCUAUUAAUAUCAUA